rnacentral:rRNA from 1 species
GGAAUUUUGGACAAUGGGCGCAAGCCUGCUCCAGCCAUGCCGCGUGCGGGAAGAAGGCCUUCGGGUUGUAAACCGCUUUUGGCAGGAACGAAACGGCGCGGGCUAAUACCUCGCGUUAAUGACGGUAGCUGCAGAAGAAGCACCGGCUCACUACGUGCCAGCAGCCGCGGUAAUACGUAGGGUGCAAGCGUUCAUCGGAGUUACUGGGCGUAAAGCGUACGCAGGCGGCUUUGCAAGACAGGUGUGAAAUCCCCGGGCCUAACCUGGGAACUGCAUUUGUGACUGCAUGGCUAGAGUCUGUCAGAGGGGGGUGGAAUUCCACGUGUAGCAGCGAAAUGCGUAGAGAUGUGGAAGAACACCGAUGGCGAAGGCAGCCCCCUGGGAUAAGACUGACGCUCAUGUACGAAAGCGUGGGGAGCAAA